CCUACGGGUGGCUGCAGUGGGGAAUAUUGGACAAUGGGGGGAACCCUGAUCCAGCCAUGCCGCGUGUGUGAAGAAGGCCCUCGGGUUGUAAAGCACUUUCAGUGAGGAAGAACGCCUGGUGGUUAAUACCCAUCAGGAAAGACAUCACUCACAGAAGAAGCACCGGCUAACUCCGUGCCAGCAGCCGCGGUAAUACGGAGGGUGCGAGCGUUAAUCGGAAUUACUGGGCGUAAAGCGCGCGUAGGUGGCUUGAUAAGCCGGUUGUGAAAGCCCCGGGCUCAACCUGGGAACGGCAUCCGGAACUGUCAAGCUAGAGUGCAGGAGAGGAAGGUAGAAUUCCCGGUGUAGCGGUGAAAUGCGUAGAGAUCGGGAGGAAUACCAGUGGCGAAGGCGGCCUUCUGGACUGACACUGACACUGAGGUGUGAAAGCGUGGGUAGCAAACAGGAUUAGAUACCCCAGUAGUC
rnacentral:rRNA from 1 species